rnacentral:miRNA from 1 species
UCUCUCUCUCUCUCUCUGUCUCUCUCUCUCUCUCUCUGUCUGUGUGUGUGUGUGUGUGUGUGUGAGAGAGAGAGAGAGAGAGAGAGAGAGAGAGAGAGAGAGA